GAGGCGGUCGCACAAGGGCGAGCUGGAGCACUAGUGGAGUUGGCGGGAAAGGCACGGCUGCGGGCGCCCCCUGUCCGCACGGAGGAGCCGAAGUCCCGCAGGGUGGGGUCCCCGCCUGCGCCGAGAGGGCCACCUGGUCGAGAGAACAGGCGACACGGAAACCUGAGAAACUCCUCUGUCUGGUGCACCUAACCCUCUUCCUCAUAAAGUGCACACGAACUCUGGUUUUUCCGUUGCAAAUUUUGCUUUCUACAUAGACCAUACCAUUCGUUGCUCUCUGAGGAUGAGGUCCUGGCUUCCCAGUCCAGCAGAAGUAUCUACAUCUAUUUCUGGAAAGGACCUGAACUUGGCUUCUCGUCCUUCUGGAAAGUGAGGCGAAAAUGCCAGGCUGCGCAGCUAUCCUGAGGCCCGGCCUGGAACCUGGCUAGCCACCCAGUCCUGAUACCUCAUCUCCUUUCUGUUGGAUAAAGUCAUUGGAUAAGAUCCCCCAGGGUCUUCUUAAUACUGAACAUCUGUUCAUAAUCACAUAAGUGACCAAGUAUAGUGGAAAACCCGAACUUACCUCAUCCUUUAAGUAUUUGAGGAACUGGUGAACAAGUUAACUACUUUGAUAGUAAACGAGGAAAUUUCUUUAUAGAGAAAAGCAAAAUGUGGCCCAGCAGGAGUCAGUCUUGCUCUGUUGCCC
rnacentral:lncRNA from 1 species